rnacentral:tRNA from 1 species
AGAGUUGUUGCUCAGUGGUAGAGCACUUGCCUAGCAUGUAUGAGGCACUGGGUUCAAUUCUCAGUACCACAU